CACGUAGGGCGCGAGCGUUGUCCGGAAUUAUUGGGCGUAAAGAGCUCGUAGGCGGCCUGUUGCGUCCGCUGUGAAAGCCCGGGGCUUAACCCCGGGUCGGCAGUGGAUACGGGCAGGCUAGAGGUAGGUAGGGGAGAAUGGAAUUCCCGGUGUAGCGGUGAAAUGCGCAGAUAUCGAGAGGAACACCUGAGGUGAAGACGGGUUGCUGGGCCGACACUGACGCUGAGUGCGCGAAAGCCAGGGGAGCAAACGGG
rnacentral:rRNA from 1 species